UAGGGAAUCUUCGGCAAUGGACGAAAGUCUGACCGAGCAACGCCGCGUGAGUGAAGAAGGUUUUCGGAUCGUAAAACUCUGUUGGUAGAGAAGAACGUUGGUGAGAGUGGAAAGCUCAUCAAGUGACGGUAACUACCCAGAAAGGGACGGCUAACUACGUGCCAGCAGCCGCGGUAAUACGUAGGUCCCGAGCGUUGUCCGGAUUUAUUGGGCGUAAAGCGAGCGCAGGUGGUUUAUUAAGUCUGGUGUAAAAGGCAGUGGCUCAACCAUUGUAUGCAUUGGAAACUGGUAGACUUGAGUGCAGGAGAGGAGAGUGGAAUUCCAUGUGUAGCGGUGAAAUGCGUAGAUAUAUGGAGGAACACCGGUGGCGAAAGCGGCUCUCCGGCCUGUAACUGACACUGAGGCUCGAAAGCGUGGGGAGCAAACAGGAUUAGAUACCC
rnacentral:rRNA from 1 species